rnacentral:rRNA from 1 species
AUACGGAGGAUCCGAGCGUUAUCCGGAUUUAUUGGGUUUAAAGGGUGCGCAGGCGGCCAUUUAAGUCAGCGGUUAAAUCGUGGGGCUCAACCCCAUUCUGCCGUUGAUACUGGGUGGCUUGAUUGCGGUCGAGGUUGGCGGAAUUCGUUGUGUAGCGGUGAAAUGCAUAGAUAUGACGAAGAACACCGAUUGCGUAGGCAGCUGACCAGACCGCAAAUGACGCUCAUGCACGAAAGUGCGGGGAUCGAACAGGAUUAGAUACCCUGGUAGUCCGCACAGUAAACGAUGAAUACUUGUUUUCGGCGAUAUAAUGUCGGAGGCAAAGCGAAAGCGAUAAGUAUUCCACCUGGGGAGUACGCCGGCAACGGUGAAACUCGAAGGAAUUGACGGG